rnacentral:rRNA from 1 species
CACGUAGGGGGCGAGCGUUGUCCGGAAUCAUUGGGCGUAAAGAGCUCGUAGGCGGCUCGGUAAGUCGGGUGUGAAACCCCCAGGCUCAACCUGGGGACGCCACCCGAUACUGCUGUGGCUAGAGUCCAGUAGGGGAGUGUGGAAUUCCCGGUGUAGCGGUGAAAAUGCGCAGAUAUCGGGAGGAACACCAGCGGCGAAGGCGGCACUCUGGGCUGGAACUGACGCUGAGGAGCGAAAAGCGUGGGUAGCAAACAGG